rnacentral:misc_RNA from 1 species
UCCGGUUUGUUUCCGGCAGUCUCCCUAGAUAGUCAACUAGGGACGGGGGUUGCGCUCGUUGCGGGACUUAACCCAACAUCUCACGACACGAGCUGACGACAGCCAUGCAGCAUCUGUGUACCCGUCCCGAAGGAGGCCUCCCUUUCAGGAGGUUGCGAGUACAUGUCAAGCCCUGGUAAGGUUCUUCGCGUCGCAUCGAAUUAAACCACACGCUCCGCUGCUUGUGCGGGUCCCCGUCAAUUCCUUUGAGUUUUAGUCUUGCGACCGUACUCCCCAGGCGGGCCACUUAAUGCGUUAGCUUCGGCACGGAAGGGGUCAACACCCCCCACACCUAGUGGCCAUCGUUUACUGCUAGGACUAC